rnacentral:piRNA from 1 species
UGUCUGUAUCACGGACUUCCUCCCACACUC